rnacentral:lncRNA from 1 species
ACAAUGAAAACAAAUUCCUUCCGACAUGUGUCCCUUCUCUUCCGAUGCCUGUCCUGCAACCAAGUUACUCAUAUCAGAGUGUAAUUCUGAAUUUAGCCAGCAUGUUUGGUACAACUAAGUAUUUCGUCUUCUCAGAGGAUGUUCUUCCUGAAAAUUUACAAGCCAACAUGAAUCAGUUGAACCUAUGAAGAUAACAAUGUAUACAGAUUGUUUGUAUAGCAACUAAAUACAUGAUUUCUGUCAAUAUUUGUAUUUUUCUGGUGGGUUUCCUAGAAUUUAAGUUGCUCAGCCUUUGGUGUGAACAUGGUUUUUCUUAUUAAACUAUUUUUUUUUGGAUCUUAGGUUAUGCCUUUUGACAAGAGAAUGUCUAACGUGGAUUGAAGCUCAACGUGUUCAUUACAUGGCAAGUUGCAUGGUCCUGAAGAAAAGGGAUCGGUAUUUAUUUUUUUUUUAUAAAAGUUUUCAUGUUAGACAUUAUAGGGAUCGAUAUUUCUGCGAAGAAAGAAACCUUAUAUUUUUUUCAUUUCAGUAUAACCAAUGCCAUGAUGCUUUAAUAUUUUUUUUCUACUUAAAUGCUUCGUUAAUGUGUUUUUCAAUGAAUAGAGAAUGUUUGCAUUUGUAUCACGGCUUUUCCUCUGCAUCUUGAUCAAACAGAAGAAUACAUUGCUAUGAAACAGAUAUAGAGCCUAGAGAAUGCGCCAUAAAAUUUUGUAGUUAAAAUUAAAUUCUGAUCAGGAUUUAAUUCUUAGUUGUGUACAAUAUGAUUAGUCUCUAAUUAUUGACUGAAUAAUGCUCUCAAUGGAGAUAAACAAAAAUUCCAAAAGUAUUGUAAUUACAUAACAGUAAAUUUGGCAGUAAGUGAAAGUACAUGUCCAUGACUAAUUAGAAGUUAGUUGGUUAAAGUUAGAAUUGAUGAGGCUUGUGUCUGCCAUAUUUCUUCAAGUUAAAUAUAGGCUCAAGAGUUUAAGUUGAUAGAAUUAAGUUUUUAAAUGGCUUAAAGCUACUAAAAUAAAAUAUUUAUUAAUUUGACAUUAGCAUGUCUUGUUUAUUUGUUAUAACUUGAAGUAUCCAGAUCUUUGUUUUACCAUUCAUAUCAAGUUUAACUUCUAUUUUAAUUGUUUGAUUUGCGUUUAAAAACUUGUAAUUGAAGUUUGUGAAUUCCAAAACAGUGAGGGAAGAGAUAAUCAACUUGUGACAUUGAAAGUAGGUUGAGGUUAGAAAUGUUGAAAAUCAAGCAAUUCAAAAAUAUAAUUGAAAACAUAUGAUAAGCCUUGCUUUACCUUUCUUGUCUAGCAACUUCACUGUUAUCAUAAGCUAUUUGCCUUGUCUUUCUUCUCUUCAACUUUUGGUCAUCGUUAAUAAAAGUGAAGUAGAUUUGUAUCUCAUGAAAAGUUUGGAGAAAACAAGUAGUCAUUUUUACAUCUUGUUGGGAAAGUGAAUUCUAUCAAAUAUCUUAUUCAAAGUGAAACACAAUUAUACAAUCCAGGACAUGUAAAUAGAAAAAAUACAUUUCUGGAUGAUAAAAUCGAACAAAUUUCAAGAUGUAUUUUUUAAAAAAUAAAAUGAUUUUUUACUUAUUUGUGGUUGAAAUUGUGGAGAUGCAUGAAUAGAUUGCCCUUGAACGAUUGUUUACUCGGUUUUAUAUAGAUUUCCUUCAAUACUGUCUAAUACAUUUUAUACAUUUUCAAAACCGUGGUCCUCGAGGACAUGCUUGCCCAACUUUCUGAUACAUUAAUGAUGUUAGGCUGCUUCUUCUUGCAUCUCUAUGCCUUUGCAUGGAAAAUAUAUUUUUAUCCAUUAGUAAAAAAAUAAUUCUAGAUUAUAAGUCAGAAACAUUUUUUUAAAUCCAAAUCUUUUUAAAAAAUACUUUAUAAAUUACAUAAUUCAUAAAUUAUUCCAGAAUUGAGAAAAGACUUAUGGAAUGUAUUUUUUUCAAAAUU